rnacentral:tRNA from 1 species
UGGCUCAGAGGGUAAAGCGUCUGCCUACAAUGCAGGAGACCCGGGUUCGAUCCCUGG